GCGGCAACAGCUCAAAUUUGAAAUCUGGCCCCCCGGGUCCGAGUUGUAAUUUGUAGAGGAUGCUUUUGGCGAGGUGCCUUCCGAGUUCCCUGGAACGGGACGCCAUAGAGGGUGAGAGCCCCGUCUGGUCGGACACCGAGCCUCUGUAAAGCUCCUUCGACGAGUCGAGUAGUUUGGGAAUGCUGCUCAAAAUGGGAGGUAUAUGUCUUCUAAAGCUAAAUAUUGGCCAGAGACCGAUAGCGCACAAGUAGAGUGAUCGAAAGAUGAAAAGCACUUUGAAAAGAGGGUUAAAAAGUACGUGAAAUUGUUGAAAGGGAAGCGCCUAUGACCAGACUUGGGCCCGGUGAAUCAUCCAGCGUUCUCGCUGGUGCACUUUGCCGGGCACAGGCCAGCAUCAGUUUGGCGCGGGGGAUAAAGGCUUUGGGAAUGUGGCUCCCUCGGGAGUGUUAUAGCCCACUGCGCAAUACCCUGCGCCGGACUGAGGUACGCGCAUCGCAAGGAUGCUGGCGUAAUGGUCAUUAGCGACCCGUCUUGAAACACGGACCAAGGAGUCGUCUUCGUAUGCGAGUGUUCGGGUGUCAAACCCCUACGCGUAAUGAAAGUGAACGCAGGUGAGAGCUUCGGCGCAUCAUCGACCGAUCCUGAUGUUCUCGGAUGGAUUUGAGUAAGAGCAUACGGGGCCGGACCCGAAAGAAGGUGAACUAUGCCUGUAUAGGGUGAAGCCAGAGGAAACUCUGGUGGAGGCUCGCAGCGGUUCUGACGUGCGAAUCGAUCGUCAAAUA
rnacentral:rRNA from 1 species